GGGCGUGUGGCUCAGUUGGUAGAGCGUUCGCUUAGCAUACUAUCCUGUAUGCGAAAGGUCCUGGGUUCGAUUCCCAGCUCGUCCA